rnacentral:piRNA from 1 species
AUUAUCAUAGUUUUGAUGUCAAGCC